UGGGAGGUAAAUUUCUCCUAAGGCUAAAUAUUGGCGAGAGACCGAUAGCGAACAAGUACCGUGAGGGAAAGAUGAAAAGAACUUUGAAAAGAGAGUUAAAAAGUACGUGAAAUUGUUGAAAGGGAAACGAUUGAAGUCAGUCGUACCGACGAGAAAUCAGCUUUUCGAAUGUGCAUUUGUGGGCGUAUGAGAGCUUCACGGCCUUGUUGUUUGCAAUAUGUAUGUUUCUUUGGUGUACUUUUUCGUAUGGUAGGUCAAUGUCGGUUUUGAUCGCCAUAAAAUGAUCGGAGGAAUGUAGCUUCGGCCUCGGUUGAAGUGUUAUAGCCUUUGGUAAAUGUGGUGAUUAGGACCGAGGAUUGCAACGAAUACCUUUUAGGCUAUCCGUCUGACCUCUGAAAGUUACUUAGGUGCCGAAAGCUUGCUUACGGCCAUCUAAGUUGACGGUCAAAAGGUUAGAACGUGAUUAUAUUCGUUAAGGACGUUGACGUAAUGGCUUUAAACGACCCGUCUUGAAACACGGGCCAAGGAGUCUAACAUAUAUGCGAGUGUUCGGGUGUUCAAACCCUUACGCGGAAUGAAAGUAAUUCAGGUGGGAUCGCGUCAUUCGUGUGCACCAUCGACC
rnacentral:rRNA from 1 species